rnacentral:sRNA from 1 species
AAGAUGGAUACAAUGUUCAAAAUC